CUAAGUUAUGCAACAGAUAUUUGAAAACACUGUUGGAAGAAAUGUACGCUUGCCUUCGUUUCGGAUCACAUAUAUCGAGCAAAAGUUCGGCCCGAACAUUACCUUUGGAGUACAAUGAGCUUGUCGUCACUAACGUGAACAUAAAUCCCAGACAAGAGUCAAACAAAAGAGCAGAGGAGAUUUGAACGGGACCGAUCGCAGCCUGCUUGCUAAGUGGUGGAACGAAGCAUGAAUAUACCCGGGUGGAAGUGAGCACUAACCAAGGCGGAUAUCCAGGCGGUGUUGCUUGGGAACGAUCUGAUUGCUCACCUGGGACUGGAGAAGAGAUUAAGAACUACCUCCACGAAGGAGAGGGAAAAUUCCCUUAAAAAAAAGGAAGUUUUGUGGGAUAUGUAGUCAAUAACGCGUCGCGAUUGCUGAAGCCGGUGAGACGGUGGACUUCAUUUCCCGAGUAAACCAUCGUCGAAAGACAUGCGGUGGCCAUCUGCAACUCGUAAAUAUACUUCCGCCUGCAGUGCUGCAGAAAGCUUGUCUGCAGAAGCAGGAAGUCCCCAGAUGGAGGCGCUGUUGACAUGAAGACAGUCAGACCUCAGAAGUAGAAACUGAAAGGACGAACGGGGAUUCGAACCCUGAAGCUCAGCGUUCCAAGCUUUGGACAAUACCUUUACGCCACCAUCAUGUUAGCGGUUGCGCGGCUGCAGAAAUGGCCUGAUGAUGAGACAACCCAAGUAUAAGCGAAACAAAGACGAAGGGGGGUUCGAACCCCCAACCUCUGCGUCCGUAGGCAAAGACAAUACCGUUGCGCCACCUUCUCUUCUGUGAAUCGGCCGGCUCUUCUGUGGGUAGAAGAAGAUGACACAACAGAAAUAUUUACAAAAAAAUCUCAGAAAUUUUGCCUUCAUCUACUAACUUCGGACCUGAAGGUGAUGAACCUUGUUACCUAUGUCUUACAGCUGGUUCUUAGAGCCACAGCAGAGAGGUGAAGAGCCAGAGAGACAGAGCAGAGGGGGGAUUGAACUUACUAUCUUGGGAUUCGUGGAACAGGGUACUCUUGCACCACGAAGCCCUUCAAGAGUUCCUGGGUGUUCAUUAGUGAACUUAUUCGCAGACCGAUAAGAAUUAAAGAGGAAGAGCUCAGCUUUGAAUAGCAGAGAUCCAGAUUAGGUGCUCUCCUAAAAUGAACUCUACGAAACUGUGGAAAAAUAUAAACUGACACCCUAAUAUAUUUUGGCUUAUUUAAAUAAAGCUUUUGAUUCAUUGGACUUCCCUUGAAUUUGCGAUUCAUGAUUAGAACAGGUGACUGACAAGUCCCAUUCAAACAGAUGACCUAAUUAAAUGUGUAAUGGUGUUGCAUCUUCUAGGUGUCCCUGAAAGUGAUUAGUUGGUUACAUUUUUUAUGCCUUUGAAUGUUUUCUUUUACAAGGAUGAAAAAUGUAAUCUAGCCAGUAAUGUACUAUGGAGAACAGUCAUUCUGUUUUUAUAAAGUGCAGUGGAUAUGUAUUGGGGGACAGGGCUUGUAAAUGCAUUUUAUUUUCUUUUUAAUAAUGAAAUAAAAUUAAUUGUGUUUUGUAAUUUUA